GAUGAACGCUGGCGGCGUGCCUAAUACAUGCAAGUCGAGCGAACGGACGAGGAGCUUGCUCCUCUGACGUUAGCGGCGGACGGGUGAGUAACACGUGGAUAACCUACCUAUAAGACUGGGAUAACUUCGGGAAACCGGAGCUAAUACCGGAUAAUAUAUUGAACCGCAUGGUUCAAUAGUGAAAGACGGUUUUGCUGUCACUUAUAGAUGGAUCCGCGCCGCAUUAGCUAGUUGGUAAGGUAACGGCUUACCAAGGCAACGAUGCAUAGCCGACCUGAGAGGGUGAUCGGCCACACUGGAACUGAGACACGGUCCAGACUCCUACGGGAGGCAGCAGUAGGGAAUCUUCCGCAAUGGGCGAAAGCUUGACGGAGCAACGCCGCGUGAGUGAUGAAGGUCUUCGGAUCGUAAAACUCUGUUAUUAGGGAAGAACAAAUGUGUAAGUAACUAUGCACGUCUUGACGGUACCUAAUCAGAAAGCCACGGCUAACUACGUG
rnacentral:rRNA from 1 species